rnacentral:lncRNA from 1 species
UAUAUACUUCUUCAGUUUACGAACAUUUUUUUCUUCCUUUUCCAGCUAAUCAUAGUUCAGUUAUGAGAAGUCAAUAAGAAUUCAGUACUGCCAGAACUGUCCACGGUCAUGUAGUUUGGUUGGUGUCAUGUUCGGAAUGCGUGGUGAGAUUUCCAGGACUUCAUUUGAGUUGCGCCUUUCUUUGCACCAUCUAGGUUCAGCCAAAAUAUAGCUUUUCCUUUGUACUCCUAUGAUCCUAUCUAGAUCUCAAUGUGCAGGUUGGUAUUACUUUGGCUGAACCUGGAUGGUGCAAAGUCAGGCUUGCUUCUCUCAGUUUCCUAUCUAGAUCUCCAUGUGCUGGUUGUUACUAGUUGUCUUGAUUAAUUUAGAUAAAUACCACUGUGUUUACCUCUUGUUGUUUGAUAGGAAUUUGGAUCAGAUGUCAAUAGCGCAGGGGCAGGGGGCUACUCGAUGGGCCAAAAAAGCGGAGGUUUGGUUGCAGUUCCCAGAUGCACAACAGCGGUGCGGCGCCCAUAUGCACAACGGUGGCGCGACGGCUGCGAGAUGUACAGAAGUGGUAUGGCCGCUCCACAGUGAUGGUUUGUAGUGCAGUACGGUCAGCUAAGCCAUCUGCCCCAUCCCAUCCAAUCCAAUACCAUAGCUCAGUCACCUAGGCUGAUAUGUCCGUUUGUAUUUCUAAUGCCACAUUAACGCGUCAAUGAUUAGUGGUUGGCAUUUACUGUAGUUUUUGGCGAAUCUUCAUGGGUUUGUGUUUCUCGUAUCUCUAUUGAUUUAUACUUCUUGAUAGGGUCUUAGCCAUAUUCCUACAAUACAAUGCAAUAUGCGGCAGCUAUAAGUUAUAUGGAUAUUACUAGUCGUAGGUGCAGCUAUUAAUUUCGUACUAGUAUAGUUGUUCAGCCAAGUAGGAAAAGUUAGAUGCAUGUACAUGUAUGGAACUGACUAUGCAGUAUUCAAGUUUCCAGCAAUUUUUCGUUGAAAAAACUAAUCACUGUUGAAAAAGUAGCUUUCAAUUUUGACAGUGAUCUUUUACUGCAAACACUGAACCAUCUCACUUGACAAAGUUUAUCUAUUAAUUAAAUAUAUUGGCAAUACCAAAAUGCAUCAAUUUAUCAGUAUUUUAGAUUAUCUUGAGAGAGUUCAAAUUCAGAGUAACCUUUGGUCUAGAGACUUUGUGUGAGUAACGAUUUUCUGUUGACUUCUCCAUUCUGACCAUGGUAUUGGCUUAUGGAGAUCAUUGUUUGUCUAUGGAGAAAAUUUAAUGUCAGUAUACAUACAUUCAAAAUAUUGUUUUGUGGUCUUCUAAAUUACCAAUACAUAUGUUGUAUCUUCAAGUUACAGAAACUGGAUUGUUUCAGGUAGUGAUGACAUUACGCGGUGACUGUGGACUCUGGCGUCAAAGGACAAAACAUGGUUCAGGUUGCCGCUUGUAUUUUACUACAUUUAAGUGUAGUACGUGAAUGUAUAAUUGGAAUAAUAUAGCUUUGAAAUCACAGCCUGUAAAUCCUAGCACCACCACUGGUUCCAUGUCAAUAUUCUUGGCACUUAAACAUGGAAGAUCACUAGUGCCAGAUAGGAAUUUUUAUGAUGUAAUUUGUAACUGUAGUUCUACCACCACAAAGAGAAAUUGGACUACUAAUUGCCAUCCUGAAUAUUAUUUCUUAUCUACCAUAUACCUAUAUUUUUUCCCACCUAAUUUGUACAAAAAGAAAACUUUUCUUGCAUGUGAAAUUCUCAUACUGCUUCUGCGAGAUAUGACUCGUUACAACUAGAUUAAGUAAAACAAUUCAUCAAAUACUGUGUGUGUAAAUUACAUUCCCUCGCUUCCUAUAAAACACUAUUUCUAUCGACAUGAUGAAAAUUAAUUAUGGAAUGAGGUGAGUUAGCUUAGUACGCUAAUAUCUACUUUCAGCUACAGAUGCGUGAUACUUUCCAAAUCUAACUAGUCUGGGUUUUGCGAAUAUAUCGCACCAUAUUCACUCAUGCUAUCGCCGAUUAGUCACAUAAGUUUAUUCGAUAUCAAUUAGAUAUGUAGUUUUUUUGUGGUUAAAAAACUAAUGAAUUGUAGUUUUUCUUCCGUAGAGAUGUACAUGUAGAGUUGGUGCUACAUUAGCAAAAUCUGACCAGUUGAUACGACCACUAAAAAUGUUAAAAAUUAUUGGCCAUGCAGCUGGAUUAAUUAUUGCAUGGCCUUCAACCUUUGUUUGUUGCUCUUCUAAAUUUUGCUGCUCUAUUAACCUUUUUUUCUACUGUAAGUUACUGAUCUCAUUUCUUUAUUUUUGUAGAUUCAUAAGAUAUUUUGACGAUGCAUGGCUUAGACGUUGAUUGCACGGUCCAGAAUGGUGCUAUAGGAUACUCUUAUCAUCUGAUUGCAAGGUCGAGAAUGGUGUUGCUGCUAGAUAGUUUGAUCAUCUGAUUGCAAGGUCGAGAAUGGUGUUGCUGCUGGAUAGUUUUAUCAUCUGAUUGCAAGGUCGAGAAUGGUGUUGCUGCUAUAUGGUCUUAUCAUAUGAUUGCAAGGUCGAGAAUGGUGUUGCUGUUGGAUAGUCUUAUGUUAUGUUUUAGGAUAUCAUUUCCAGUGUCAAUGUUUCAAAAGUUCUAAUUUCGAAUAGUUGAGAAAAUGAUUGAAAAGAUCCAGAAUUGGGCUAGUAUUGUAAUCUUUGGAUCAUGUUCUUUGUAAUGCAAUAGAUGAAAUUGAAUAUAUUAGACCUUUUUCAUAUAUUGUGCCUCCUAUGUACUAUCCCCAUCGACCUUAUCAUUAUCAAUGGCUAUAUAUAAAAUACAUGUUAUAUCCAUUUGAAUA